rnacentral:tRNA from 1 species
GGGUAUAUAGCUCAGGCGUAGAGCGCGUGCUUAGCAUGCAAGAGGUCCUGGGUUCAGUUCCCAGUACCUCUA